rnacentral:rRNA from 1 species
UACGAAGUGGGCUAGCGUUGCUCGGAAUCACUGGGCGUAAAGCGCACGUAGGCGGCUUACUAAGUCAGGGGUGAAAUCCUGGAGCUCAACUCCAGAACUGCCUUUGAUACUGAUAGUCUUGAGUAUGGGAGAGGUGAGUGGAACUGCGAGUGUAGAGGUGAAAUUCGUAGAUAUUCGCAAGAACACCAGUGGCGAAGGCGGCUCACUGGCCCAUUACUGACGCUGAGGCACGAAAGCGUGGGGAGCAAACAGG